AUAAGGUUAAGUUAAUAAGGGCGCACGGUGGAUGCCUUGGCACUAGAAGCCGAAGAAGGACGUGACAAACGACGAAAUGCUUUGGGGAGCUGUAAGUAAGCGCUGAUCCAGAGAUGUCCGAAUGGGGGAACCCACUAACUAAUGGUUAGUAUCCAUAACUGUUAAGGUUAUGAGAAGGAAGACGCAGUGAACUGAAACAUCUAAGUAGCUGCAGGAAGAGAAAGCAAACGCGAUUGCCUUAGUAGCGGCGAGCGAAACGGCAGGAGGGCAAACCGAAGUGUUUACACUUCGGGGUUGUAGGACUGCGACGUGGGACUUUAAAAGGAUAGAAGAAUUACCUGGGAAGGUAAGCCAAAGAGAGUAAAAGCCUCGUAUUUAAAAUUCUUUUGAGCCCUAGCAGUAUCCUGAGUACGGCGAGACACGUGAAAUCUCGUUGGAAUCUGGGAGGACCAUCUCCCAACCCUAAAUACUCUCUAGUGACCGAUAGUGAACCAGUAC
rnacentral:rRNA from 1 species